rnacentral:rRNA from 1 species
CCUACGGGGUGCAGCAGUGAGGAAUAUUGGUCAAUGGACGUAAGCCUGAACCAGCCAAGCCGCGUGCGGGAUGAAGGUUCUAUGGAUCGUAAACCUCUUUUAUACGGGGGUAAAGUGCGAUACGUGUACCUUUCUGUAUGUACCUUAUGAAUAAGGAUCGGCUAACUCCGUGCCAGCAGCCGCGGUAAUACGGAGGAUUCAAGCGUUAUCCGGAUUUAUUGGGUGUAAGGGGUGCGUAGGCGGUCUGGUAAGUCAGCGGUGAAAGUCCGGGGCUCAACCAGGGAAUUGCCUGUGAUACUGGGAGGCUAGAGUGUGGUUGAGGGAGGCGGAAUGGGUGGUGUAGCGGUGAAAUGCUUAGAGAUCACGCAGAACACCGAUUGCGAAGGCAGCUUGCCAAGCCAUGUCUGACGCUGAGGCACGAAAGCGUGGGGAGCAAACAGGAUUAGAUACCCGUGUAGUC